AGGGAUCAUUACUGAGUUUACGCUCUACAACCCUUUGUGAACAUACCUAUAACUGUUGCUUCGGCGGGUAGGGUCUCCGUGACCCUCCCGGCCUCCCGCCCCCGGGCGGGUCGGCGCCCGCCGGAGGAUAACCAAACUCUGAUUUAACGACGUUUCUUCUGAGUGGUACAAGCGAAUAAUCAAAACUUUUGACAACGGAUCUCUUGGUUCUGGCAUCGAUGAAGAACGCAGCGAAAUGCGAUAAGUAAUGUGAAUUGCAGAAUUCAGUGAAUCAUCGAAUCUUUGAACGCACAUUGCGCCCGCCAGCAUUCUGGCGGGCAUGCCUGUUCGAGCGUCAUUUCAACCCUCAAGCUCUGCUUGGUGUUGGGGCCCUACAGCUGAUGUAGGCCCUCAAAGGUAGUGGCGGACCCUCCCGGAGCCUCCUUUGCGUAGUAACUUUACGUCUCGCACUGGGAUCCGGAGGGACUCUUGCCGUAAAACCCCCCAAUUUUCCAAAGGUUGACCUCGGAUCAGGUAGGAAUACCCGCUGAA
rnacentral:rRNA from 1 species